rnacentral:rRNA from 1 species
AGUGAACGCUGGCGGUAGGCCUAACACAUGCAAGUCGAACGGCAGCACAGGAGAGCUUGCUCUCUGGGUGGCGAGUGGCGGACGGGUGAGGAAUACAUCGGAAUCUACUUUUUCGUGGGGGAUAACGUAGGGAAACUUACGCUAAUACCGCAUACGACCUACGGGUGAAAGCAGGGGAUCUUCGGACCUUGCGCGAUUGAAUGAGCCGAUGUCGGAUUAGCUAGUUGGCGGGGUAAAGGCCCACCAAGGCGACGAUCCGUAGCAGGUCUGAGAGGAUGAUCAGCCACACUGGAACUGGGACACGGUCCAGACUCCUACGGGAGGCAGCAGUGGGGAAUAUUGGACAAUGGGCGCAAGCCUGAUCCAGCCAUACCGCGUGGGUGAAGAAGGCCUUCGGGUUGUAAAGCCCUUUUGUUGGGAAAGAAAUCCAGCUGGUUAAUACCCGGUUGGGAUGACGGUACCCAAAGAAUAAGCACCGGCUAACUUCGUGCCAGCAGCCGCCGUAA